UACGGAGGGAGCUAGCGUUGUUCGGAAUUACUGGGCGUAAAGCGCACGUAGGCGGCUUUUUAAGUCAGGGGUGAAAUCCCGGAGCUCAACUCUGGAACUGCCUUUGAUACUGGGUAUCUUGAGUAUGGAAGAGGUGAGUGGAAUUCCGAGUGUAGAGGUGAAAUUCGUAGAUAUUCGGAGGAACACCAGUGGCGAAGGCGGCCCCCUGGCACAAUACUGACGCUGAGGUGCGAAAGCAUGGGGAGCAAACAGG
rnacentral:rRNA from 1 species